AACGAACGCUGGCGGCAGGCCUCAAACAUGCAAGUCUAGGGGGUGUAGCAAUACAUCACCGGCGGACGGGUGCGUAACGCGUGGGAAUAUACCUAUUGGUUCGGAACAACACAGGGAAACUUGUGCUAAUACCGAAUGUGCCCUUACGGGGAAAGAUUUAUCGCCAAUGGAUUAGCCCGCGUCCGAUUAGCUAAUUGGUGAGGUAACGGCUCACCAAGGCUCCGAUCGGUAGCUGUUCUGAGAGGAAGAUCAGCCACACUGGGACUGAGACACGGCCCAGACUCCUACGGGAGGCAGCAGUUGGGAAUCUUGGACAAUGGGGGGAAACCCUGAUCCAGCCAUGCCGCGUGAGUGAUGAAGGCCUUCGGGUUGUAAAACUCUUUCGACGGGGACGAUAAUGACGGUACCCGUAGAAGAAGCUCCGGCUAACUUCGUGCCAGCAGCCGCGGUAAU
rnacentral:rRNA from 1 species